rnacentral:rRNA from 1 species
GGUGGAGCGACUGAAGCCCUCGGGCAGCUACCUCUCAGGCUGCC